UCUCUUUCUCUCUCUAACUUCUCUCUAGCCUCCCUAAACCCCUCCCAAGUCUAGGGAACCUCCCUAUCACGAGAAGAAAGCCCCGGAGCGCCCGACGGCUCCGAGAAGAAAAGCUUUCGGCUCGGAAACGCUGCUCCAGCGAAGUCCGGUUUUUAAUAAAAACCCAUUGUUUGGUCAAGGAAAAAUUGUUUUAAGAAGUAACGAAGAGCUGUCCGAGUGCCGAGUCACCACCUUACCAGGUAGUGGCGCAUGAGCAUAGGUGUGAUGUUUUGGACGAGGGAUUACGGAUAUAGGCCUGUAGAUAUGAAAUAAUGUAGUAAGGCUUAUAUUGUACUGUUUAUGCUUUUGAUCUGUACGAACAUGACAUCCCGAGUCUUUUAAUGAAAUACAUUUCUAUGGAAAUGCUUUUGAUAAAUCUUUAUCAUAUUUUUGUUUUGGGACAAAUUCCGCAACACUUUCAUUUAAAAUGUAACUCUGAUUUUUAAACAAAGCAUAAACAAACCGGUCUUUUCUGGCCGUGAUUUUGGGGAUGUCACAUCGAAUUCGAUCCAAGCAUGUAUGUUUUGCCCAUUUCGCAUAUCCACCGAAAUGAAAUUCCCUGUAGAAUUGUAGUAACCGGCGCUAACUUUCACCUCUGAUUCAAUAUUAUUAAGGUCAAUUCCGACGUGAUUUCCAUCCGUCUCGUUGAAUUCCAUGUUUAUACCGGUGUCGAACUCCACGGCAAUAAGCAGAGCUACAGUUCGUGCCGCGGAGUUGGAGAACAAUCCUAGAUACUGACCGUCGAUUGCUCCGUUGGGUUCGGUGGUGUUUGAUAACACGAAAGUGAUGCCGAAACCGGGGCUGGAGUUGAUUUCCGGUAAGAUUGAAAAGACGAACUGCGUGGAGAAUACAGUAAGGUUACUGGAUCCUUGCCGGAACAUUUGAAUUGGUGUUGAGUAAAAAGCUCGACCGAUUGACCACUGAUUGGAGUCAUUAGAUAAGCGGAUCACCGGUGGCUCGAUGCGGGCGUCACGUACUAGCAGGAGGUUGGCGGUUGUGUUGAAGGAGUUGAAAAGGAAGUCCACGGCGGCGAUGGGUGGUGAUAGGAG